GGAGGGGGGAAGAAUUUAGGGAGAGAGAGGAAGGACUCUGAGAAGGAGACGAUGGAGGAGAUGGGGAAGAGGAUUUGGAAAGAAUAUGGGGAAGAAGUGUGGGGAGAAUAUGAGGGCAGAAACUGUAGGAGGAGAGAGCUCGAGCGGAUCAGCUUUGCAGCGGAGUCUCACAACGAGGGAUCGUUCUUAGAGGGUCCGAAUUGCAGCCAAAACCCGCAGCAAAGCAGCUCUGUGAAGCUGAGGGGGAGCGAUGCAGCCGUCCCAUCCGCCUCCCUCAGCAGCACAGCAGCUCUGAUACGGGUGGGUGGAAGGAGGAGGGCUGAUAUCCCCCCCAUGUGUACAAAGGGGGGGCAGGGAGUGCAAACGGGGUGCGGUGCAUCUGACGGGCUGCAGAUAGCGCAGGGAGGGGUGCAGACAGGGGGUGAUCAUCCGCCCUGCAGCAGUCAGACAGGAGGAGGGGACCUCAGGGAUGGAGAGAAAUGAAGCCGGGAGAUCCGACCCGGUACCGUGGGCUGGCAGUGUGUUAUACAGUCAUAGAAUCACAAGGUUGGAAAGGACCUACGAGACCAUCUAUUCCAACCGCCCUCCCAUCCCCACUGCUCCCAUAAGCGCCAAACCACCUCUCGUAGCUCCUCAUCCAGGCGCCUCUUCAACACUGCCCGGGACGGCGACUCCACCACCUCCCUGGGCAGCCAUUCCAGCGCCUCACCACUCUCUGAGAGGAAAAGCUUUUCCUUUUGUCCAACCUAAACCUCCUCUGGUACAACUUGUGGCCAUUUCCUCGGGUCCUGUGUGCUGCCUGGGAGAACCUCAUCCCAUUGGCUUCAGCCCAGCGAUGCAGCUUAUCGAGAUCCCUCUGAAGGGCCUCCCCACCCUCAGGCGGAUCCACACCACCUCCCAGCUUGGUGUCACCUCCGGACUUACUGAGGGUCCCUCAUUCAGGUCAUCAGUAAGGAUAUUAAACAAGAUGGGACCCCCUCAUUCAGAUCAUCAAUAAGGAUAUUAAACAAGAUGGGACCCCCUCAUUCAGGUCAUCGAUACGGAUAUUAAACAAGAUGGGACCCCCUCAUUCAGGUCAUCAGUAAGGAUAUUAAACAAGAUGGGACCCCCUCAUUCAGGUCAUCAGUAAGGAUAUUAAACAAGAUGGGACCCCUCAUUCAGAUCAUCAGUAAGGAUAUUAAACAAGAUGGGACCCCCUCAUUUAGGUCAUCGAUACGGAUAUUAAACAAGAUGGGACCCCUCAUUCAGAUCAUCAAUAAGGAUAUUAAACAAGAUGGGACCCCCUCAUUCAGGUCAUCGAGAAGGAUAUUAAACAAGAUGGGACCCCCUCAUUCAGGUCACCGAGAAGGAUAUUAAACAAGAUGGGACCCCUCAUUCAGAUCAUCUAUAAGGAUAUUAAACAAGAUGGGACCCCCUCGUAUAGGUCAUCGAUAAGGAUAUUAAACAAGAUGGGACCCCCUCAUUCAGGGCAUCUAUAAGGAUAUUAAACAAGUUGGGACCCCCUCAUUCAGGUCAUCGAUACGGAUAUUAAACAAGAUGGGACCCCUCAUUCAGGUCAUCGAUAUGGAUAUUAAACAAGAUGGGACCCCUCAUUCAGGUCAUCAAUAAGGAUAUUAAACAAGAUGGGACCCCUCAUUCAGAUCAUCAAUAAGGAUAUUAAACAAGAUGGGACCCCCUCAUUCAGGUCAUCGAUACGGAUAUUAAACAAGAUGGGACCCCUCAUUCAGGUCAUCGAUACGGAUAUUAAACAAGAUGGGACCCCUCAUUCAGGUCAUCAAUAAGGAUAUUAAACAAGAUGGGACCCCUCAUUCAGAUCAUCAAUAAGGAUAUUAAACAAGAUGGGACCCCUCAUUCAGGUCAUCAAUAAGGAUAUUAAACAAGAUGGGUCCC